rnacentral:rRNA from 2 species
GGAGCUUGCUCCCUGAGAUUAGCGGCGGACGGGUGAGUAACACGUGGGCAACCUGCCUAUAAGACUGGGAUAACUUCGGGAAACCGGAGCUAAUACCGGAUACGUUCUUUUCUCGCAUGAGAGAAGAUGGAAAGACGGUUUACGCUGUCACUUAUAGAUGGGCCCGCGGCGCAUUAGCUAGUUGGUGAGGUAAUGGCUCACCAAGGCGACGAUGCGUAGCCGACCUGAGAGGGUGAUCGGCCACACUGGGACUGAGACACGGCCCAGACUCCUACGGGAGGCAGCAGUAGGGAAUCUUCCGCAAUGGACGAAAGUCUGACGGAGCAACGCCGCGUGAACGAAGAAGGCCUUCGGGUCGUAAAGUUCUGUUGUUAGGGAAGAACAAGUACCAGAGUAACUGCUGGUACCUUGACGGUACCUAACCAGAAAGCCACGGCUAACUACGUGCCAGCAGCCGCGGUAAUACGUAGGUGGCAAGCGUUGUCCGGAAUUAUUGGGCGUAAAGCGCGCGCAGGUGGUUCCUUAAGUCUGAUGUGAAAGCCCACGGCUCAACCGUGGAGGGUCAUUGGAAACUGGGGAACUUGAGUGCAGAAGAGGAAAGUGGAAUUCCAAGUGUAGCGGUGAAAUGCGUAGAGAUUUG